rnacentral:lncRNA from 1 species
AGGAAGCAAAGAAGAGGGAAAAUGUUGGAGGCCGUGGAAGGCACGCGAAAGAGAGAGCGUUGGUUAAGGUGAAGCAAUGGGAAGGGUGGUAGGGUGACUAACAGUGAUGAUUAAUUAUAAUAAUAAUAAUCGAUCCAUUAAAGUAAAUGGGAUUAGUUAGUUAAUGAGAAACGUGAUUUGAUUUGAUUUACUGCCUGCAUCUCAUAGUCACGUGAUUCCAUUCAAUCAAAUAAUAACCACUCCUUUUUUUUUUUCUUUUUCUUUUUAGUUUUUUUUUUUUUUUUUNN